rnacentral:rRNA from 1 species
UCAACGGAGAGUUUGAUCCUGGCUCAGGACGAACGCUGGCGGCGUGCUUAACACAUGCAAGUCGAGCGGUGAAGCCCCUUCGGGGGUGGAUCAGCGGCGAACGGGUGAGUAACACGUGGGCAACCUGCCCUCAGCACUGGGAUAACACCGAGAAAUCGGUGCUAAUACCGGAUACGACCCCCGCGGGCAUCUGCGGGGGUGGAAAGUUCCGGCGGCUGAGGAUGGGCCCGCGGCCUAUCAGCUUGUUGGUGGGGUAACGGCCUACCAAGGCGACGACGGGUAGCCGGCCUGAGAGGGCGACCGGCCACACUGGGACUGAGACACGGCCCAGACUCCUACGGGAGGCAGCAGUGGGGA